UUUUUUUCUGUUUUGGUCAAGAGUUCAUUCUUUUAGAGCUCAUCUUGGAAAGAACCACUAGUUUUGAUGUUGUUUUGGUUUUGGAAAUGGGAUGUAUGGCUUUUAUAGCUUCAAAGAGUUGGGCUGAUUGGAUUUUUCUUUUCACUUUCAGAUUAAAAGAUGCUCUGGUGUUGUUAGUUACUGGUGAACAGAGAAGUCAUUGGAAGUAUUUUUACUUUAUACUUGUGCGCCAGAGGAAGUGCAAAAGGACCUCCAGCAAACAGGGUCUCUUUAUUCGCCAAUGCUAUGUCUUUCCCUGCCUCUAUUGCAGCCACGGUAGGCUUUGAUAAUAGAAAGAGAUGAAUACUCAACCAGCUUGGUAUUAAUUUUGGUGUAUUAGAAGACUUUUCAAAUCAGGACAUAUACCAAGAUGCAUAAUCUAUGGUGCAAAAAUAAAUUGUAUUAUCUGUAAGAGAAUUUUAUUAUGAUCAAUCAAAAGGAAUUCUGCUUUUACCUUCAAA